rnacentral:lncRNA from 1 species
AGAAGACAAGCAGAUGAGGAGACAAAACCUACUGAUGUGGGUACCCAAGCAGGAACCCCCCUCUUGCACCGGCGACUCACGUGGGAAGAAGAAUUCACUGAGCUGAAAUGGAGUGAGAGCUAAGAUGCUCUCAGAAUAUUCUUAAAAUGACUGUGCUGCAAAGAAGCCCGGGUGAAUAGAAGAAAAUAGAAGGAAUGGUGGAUACAAGUGAAGGUUAAAAUGAGACCCCAUUUAUCGCACCAGCUGUUGGUGAUUUCAGCGCACCUUUCCAAGCCUCUUGAGAGUUCUGCUCUAACCACACUGCCCCCUAGUGUUCUCUCGCUUUGGUGCAACGUCCGUCUUGUACACUUCCUUCCACAGACCUGUAAUCAGCUAUUUCUUCAGGGAGCCUGUGAUUCCUUUUAGUGGAAAAUGGUUUCUCAUACUUCCGGAGAAAUAGAAAGCACCAGAUGACAGCCACCACACACUUUUGUCCCCAUUGCAAUAGGAUGCUUCUAACAAUCGUAAAAUUAUGAAACACUGAAUUCCUUAAAAGUUGUCCAUUUGUGGAUUUAUCUGAUGGUAACUAUUAAAUAUUUAAAAGUAACUUUAAUGAAUCUACUUAUGAUGAUUGAGUAAUCUAUUCUCUGAAUUCCACCAAAAAACCAUUUUAUGACCACAGUCAUAACGAACAUAUUUCUAUAGUCCUAAGCUGGCAAGAUAAAUAGAGAACAGUUCAUAAUAUAAACAAUAUAUUUAUUUAUUCCUAAACUAAUAAGAUGACUAUCAAUCUGUAAGAGACUAUGAAAAUCAA